UUGAACUCCACCUCUGAGUUUUUGAGGUACGGGGAAGACGCACAGCUCGUUUGCUCGGACAUCCGUUUUCCAGGCUGGAGCGACGGUGCCGGUGGCGUGGCCCUGUCAUGUUCUACCAGCGACUAUCGCUCGGAACUGGACGGGCUGGGACCGGGCUGCACCAUGACCGCUUCCCCGUUGACCGAGAGCUGCGUACGAAACUGCUUCAAGAUUUGCAGAUUUGGAAGCAACUGCGAAAAAGGAGAACCUUUGAUGUUUGGUGAUACGUUUACCAUUAGCCCGUGCAUCUCUUCCAAGCCGCUGUUCGUCACUGCCGUCAGUCUAUACACUGAACGAGGGGUGUCCGGUCACCCUGCAUUGAAGCUGGUUGACGCACAGGACGCGUAUUGCCGGUGGACAGUAGACUACUGGCGUGUGUCGAUGCGCGAGGAAGCCAAAGGACUUCCGGUUCCGAACGGAGCCAGAGUAAUCCUAAAGCACAUCGCCACCAAUUUGAACGCCGCGGUGGAGACGGACUUUCGGAUCGCGACGUUUUUCGGUGAUGAAUACGAAGUAAGCGCACACUCGUACAAAGAUGGCAGAGGUUGCGAAAAGGCACAAAAUAUUUGGGAGUUUGUCACGUCCAGCAAACAUUCAGCAUUCCAAGAUGACGACGGGACGAAUAACGAUACAAAAACAAACAAAUAGUAUAAUAUAAUAUUAUUUUAUUAUAUGUCAUAUAAUACAAUAAUAAUAUGUCAUUAUUCAACUUAUUUACGGAUUCCACUGCAAACAGAUAAAACAACACGACAAACGAUACGGUGGAUUAAAUGGAAACCAUGGAGCCGCAGAGCACGUGAUAGUCGAAAAAACUGUGCCACAAAUAAUAUUAUAUUAUGUAUACAGAUUUACAAUAUUACUAUAUACACUGGUGUACGGUUUUUUUUAUAUUCUUAAAUUCUCUUUCGCCGAAUAAAUUUACGCGGAUCGUUUUGAGUUUUUAUUUUCACCCCAUUAGACUUACCCGUUAAUCCCGCAAUCAGCCAAAGUGGUAAAUAUAACGAAUUUUAAUAUUUUUUUUUUAACCGAAGCAAAUCUCAUAAUAAACAACACAAAUUUACCUUUUAUUGUAAACUCGUUGAAUAUUGUGUCCGCAAAUUGCAAAAAUUAUUGUAGGUAUACAUAACAUAUUUUGCACAUGUUUUAUAAAAAUCGGAAGAAAGUUAUAUUUUUUUUUAUUUUACCGAACAUAAUAAUAUAUUAUAGCGUUAUUUAAAUUAAAAAAUUUUAGAACCAUGGA